AUUGAACGCUGGCGGCAUGCUUUACACAUGCAAGUCGAACGGAAGCGCGGGCCUUGGCCUGGCGGCGAGUGGCGAACGGGUGAGUAAUGCAUCGGAACGCGCCCAGUCGUGGGGGAUAGCGCGGCGAAAGCUGGAUUAAUACCGCAUACGAACUGAGGGUGAAAGCGGGGGACCGAAAGGCCUCGCGCUAUUGGAGCGGCCGAUGUCGGAUUAGCUAGUUGGUGGGGUAAAGGCCUACCAAGGCGACGAUCCGUAGCUGGUCUGAGAGGACGACCAGCCACACUGGAGCUGAGACACGGCCCAGACUCCUACGGGAGGCAGCAGUGGGGAAUUUUGGACAAAGGUGGCAACCCUGAUCCAGCCAUGCCGCGUGCGGGAAGGAGGCCUUCGGGUUGUGAACCGCUUUUUUUCGGGAAGAAAUCCUCUGGGCUAAUACCCCGGGGGUAUGACGGUACCGGAAGAAUAAGCACCGGCUAACUACGUG
rnacentral:rRNA from 1 species